rnacentral:rRNA from 1 species
UAGGGAAUCUUCCGCAAUGGGCGAAAGCUUGACGGAGCAACGCCGCGUGAGUGAUGAAGGUCUUCGGAUCGUAAAACUCUGUUAUUAGGGAAGAACAAAUGUGUAAGUAACUAUGCACGUCUUGACGGUACCUAAUCAGAAAGCCACGGCUAACUACGUGCCAGCAGCCGCGGUAAUACGUAGGUGGCAAGCGUUAUCCGGAAUUAUUGGGCGUAAAGCGCGCGUAGGCGGUUUUUUAAGUCUGAUGUGAAAGCCCACGGCUCAACCGUGAAGGGUCAUUGGAAACUGGAAAACUUGAGUGCAGAAGAGGAAAGUGGAAUUCCAUGUGUAGCGGUGAAAUGCGCAGAGUUAUGGGGGAACACCAGUGGCGAAGGCGACUUUCUGGUCUGUAACUGCCGCUGAUGUGCGAAAGCGUGGGGAUCAAACAGG